UGCCGCGUGUGUGAAGAAGGCCUUCGGGUUGUAAAGCACUUUCAGUCGUGAGGAAGGUAGUGUAGUUAAUAGCUGCAUUAUUUGACGUUAGCGACAGAAGAAGCACCGGCUAACUCCGUGCCAGCAGCCGCGGUAAUACGGAGGGUGCGAGCGUUAAUCGGAAUUACUGGCGUAAAGCGCAUGCAGGUGGUUUGUUAAGUCAGAUGUGAAAGCCCGGGGCUCAACCUCGGAAUAGCAUUUGAAACUGGCAGACUAGAGUACUGUAGAGGGGGGUAGAAUUUCAGGUGUAGCGGUGAAAUGCGUAGAGAUCUGAAGGAAUACCGGUGGCGAAGGCGGCCCCCUGGACAGAUACUGACACUCAGAUGCGAAAGCGUGGGGAGCAAACAGGAUUAGAUACCCUGGUAGUCCACGCCGUAAACGAUGUCUACUUGGAGGUUGUGGCCUUGAGCCGUGGCUUUCGGAGCUAACGCGUUAAGUAGACCGCCUGGGGAGUACGGUCGCAAGAUUAAAACUCAAAUGAAUUGACGGGGGCCCGCACAAGCGGUGGAGCAUGUGGUUUAAUUCGAUGCAACGCGAAGAACCUUACCUACUCUUGACAUCCAGAGAACUUUCCAGAGAUGGAUUGGUGCCUUCGGGAACUCUGAGACAGGUGCUGCAUGGCUGUCGUCAGCUCGUGUUGUGAAAUGUUGGGUUAAGUCCCGCAACGAGCGCAACCCUUAUCCUUGUUUGCCAGCGAGUAAUGUCGGGAACUCC
rnacentral:rRNA from 1 species